GAUGAACGCUGGCGGCGUGCCUAAUGCAUGCAAGUCGAGCGAACGGACGAGAAGCUUGCUUCUCUGAUGUUAGCGGCGGACGGGUGAGUAACACGUGGAUAACCUACCUAUAAGACUGGGAUAACUUCGGGAAACCGGAGCUAAUACCGGAUGAUAUUUUGAACCGCAUGGUUCAAAAGUGAAAGACGGUCUUGCUGUCACUUAUAGAUGGAUCCGCGCUGCAUUAGCUAGUUGGUAAGGUAACGGCUUACCAAGGCAACGAUGCAUAGCCGACCUGAGAGGGUGAUCGGCCACACUGGAACUGAGACACGGUCCAGACUCCUACGGGAGGCAGCAGUAGGGAAUCUUCCGCAAUGGGCGAAAGCCUGACGGAGCAACGCCGCGUGAGUGAUGAAGGUCUUCGGAUCGUAAAACUCUGUUAUUAGGGAAGAACAUAUGUGUAAGUAACUGUGCACAUCUUGACGGUACCUAAUCAGAAAGCCACGGCUAACUACGUG
rnacentral:rRNA from 1 species